rnacentral:rRNA from 1 species
AUUGAACGCUGGCGGCAUGCUUUACACAUGCAAGUCGAACGGCAGCGCGGGCUUCGGCCUGGCGGCGAGUGGCGAACGGGUGAGUAAUGCAUCGGAACGUGCCCAGUAGUGGGGGAUAGCCCGGCGAAAGCCGGAUUAAUACCGCAUACGACCUGAGGGUGAAAGCGGGGGACCGAAAGGCCUCGCGCUCUUGGAGCGGCCGAUGUCGGAUUAGCUAGUUGGUGGGGUAAAGGCUUACCAAGGCGACGAUCCGUAGCUGGUCUGAGAGGACGACCAGCCACACUGGGACUGAGACACGGCCCAGACUCCUACGGGAGGCAGCAGUGGGGAAUUUUGGACAAUGGGGGCAACCCUGAUCCAGCCAUGCCGCGUGCGGGAAGAAGGCCUUCGGGUUGUAAAGCGCUUUUGUUCGGGAAGAAAUCCUCUGGGCUAAUACCCCGGGGGGAUGACGGUACCGGAAGAAUAAGCACCGGCUAACUACGUG